AGUCGAACGCGAAAGUUCCCUUCGGGGAGCGAGUAGAGUGGCGCACGGGUGAGUAACACGUAGGUAAUCUACCUUUGGAUUGGGAAUAACACCGAGAAAUCGGUGCUAAUACCGAAUAAUGCAGCGGCACCUAAUGGUGACAGUUGUUAAAGCGGGGGAUCGCAAGACCUCGCGUCUAAAGAGGAGCCUGCGGCGGAUUAGCUAGUUGGUAAGGUAACGGCUUACCAAGGCGAUGAUCCGUAGCCGGCCUGAGAGGGCGGUCGGCCACACUGACACUGACAUACGGGUCAGACUCCUACGGGAGGCAGCAGUCGGGAAUUUUGGGCAAUGGGCGAAAGCCUGACCCAGCAACGCCGCGUGAAGGAUGAAAUCCCUCGGGAUGUAAACUUCGCAAGAACGGGAAGAAUAAGUCGGUGCGAACACCAUCGACGAUGACGGUACUGUUUGUAAGCUCCGGCUAACUCCGUGCCAGCAGCCGCGGUAAUACGGGGGGAGCAAGCGUUGUUCGGAUUUACUGGGCGUAAAGGGCGCGUAGGCGGCCACCGCAAGUCGACUGUGAAAUCUCCGGGCUUAACUCGGAAAGGUCAGCCGAUACUGCGGGGCUAGAGUGCAGAAGGGGCAACUGGAAUUCUCGGUGUAGCGGUGAAAUGCGUAGAUAUCGAGAGGAACACCUGCGGCGAAGGCGGGUUGCUGGGCUGACACUGACGCUGAUUGUGCGAAAGCUAGGGGAGCGAACGGGAUUAGAUACCCCGGUAGUCCUAGCCUUAAACGAUGAAUGCUUGGUGUCUGGGGUUUUAUAGUCCCCGGGUGCCGUCGCUAACGCUUUAA
rnacentral:rRNA from 1 species